CAACAAUCAAAAGUUACAAGAUAUCGAGGAAAUGCAGAAGGCAAAAAACUGCGUAGGAGAUCAUUAAUACAAAAGUAUUAUAUAAACCAAACCUGAUGUUGCCAGCUCCUUCAAUGAAUGCAGCAGUGUGACAGCCAGCAAUCAAAAGUAACAAGAUGUCGAGGAAAUGCAGAAGGCAAAAAACUGCGUAGGAGAUCAUUCAUCAUCAUCAUCAGCCCAUUAACGUCCCCACUGCUGGGGCACGGGCCUUCCCUAUGGAUGGAUAGGGAGAUCGGGCCUUAAACCAUCACGCGGGCCCAGUGCGGAUUGAUGGUUAUUAACGACUGCUAAUGCAGCCGGGACCAACGGCUUAACGUGCCUUCCGAAGCACGGAGGAGCUCGAGAUGAAAACUUUUUUUUUGUGGUCACCCAUCCAAUGACCGGCCUUUGCGAAAGUUGCUUUACUUCAACAAUCGCAGACCGAGCGCGUUAACCGCUGCGCCACCGAGCUCCACAUCAUCAUUAAUACAAUAGUAUUAUAUAAACCAAGCCUGAUGUUGGCCGCUCAUUCAAAGAAUGCAGCAGUGUGACAGCCAGCAAUCAAAAGUAACAAGAUGUCGAGAAAAUGCAGAGUGUAAUAAACUGUGUAGGAGAUUAUGAUUGCAAUAGAAUAAAAUCGACCAAGCCUGAAGUCCUUCAAUGCACGCAGCAGUGUGACAGCCAGCAAUCAAAAGUUACAAGAUAUCGAGGAAAUGCAGAAGGCAAAAAACUGCGUAGGAGAUUAUUAAUACAAUAGUAUUAUAUCAACCAAGCCUGAUGUCGGUAGCUUCUUCAAUGAAUGCAGCAGUGUGAGAGCCAGCAAUCAAUAGUGACAAGAAUCUAGGAAAUACAGAAGGCAAAGAAGCAGAUGUCAUCAAAGAAGAUCUUUGUUCCUGCAAUGUUUCCGCAGACGAUACAUCCAACAGAGCGAAGUGGAAGGAAAAGACUCGGAAAAAAGACCCCACCACCAUAUGGGAACAAUGCAAGGGAGAG
rnacentral:lncRNA from 1 species